CUACGUGCCAGCAGCCGCGGUAAUACGUAGGGUGCGAGCGUUAAUCGGAAUUACUGGGCGUAAAGCGAGCGCAGACGGUUACUUAAGCAGGAUGUGAAAUCCCCGGGCUCAACCUGGGAACUGCGUUCUGAACUGGGUGACUAGAGUGUGUCAGAGGGAGGUAGAAUUCCACGUGUAGCAGUGAAAUGCGUAGAGACGUGGAGGAAUACCGAUGGCGAAGGCAGCCUCCUGGGAUAACACUGACGUUCAUGCUCGAAAGCGUGGGUAGCAAACAGGAUUAGAUACCCUGGUAGUCCACGCCCUAAACGAUGUCAAUUAGCUGUUGGGCAACUUGAUUGCUUAGUAGCGUAGCUAACGCGUGAAAUUGACCGCCUGGGGAGUACGGUCGCAAGAUUAAAACUCAAAGGAAUUGACGGGGACCCGCACAAGCGGUGGAUGAUGUGGAUUAAUUCGAUGCAACGCGAAGAACCUUACCUGGUCUUGACAU
rnacentral:rRNA from 1 species